rnacentral:lncRNA from 15 species
AUUCUGCGUCAUUUUGAUUAAGCGGGAAUAUUAAACAGUAUAUUUUAGGCUUGCUAUAACCUUGCUGUAACCUGGCUGUAAUAUGCCAUGGCAGUAAUACAGGAUUACUGUAAAUAGCGAAAGUGCGGCACCCGACAUCACAUCACACGGAACACCCAGCUCGUUAUCACCCGCAGAUACUGGAGAAGGAGACGCGCUACCCGGUGGAUUGCUGAAAGUUCGGUGAGUUUGGUUUAUUUUAUGUUUUUCAUGUAUCAUGAGGUUUUAGGAUUUUACGCUCUAGUGUACCGCAACAUCGAGAUGCAUUGAGACUGCAAAGUUAACGUUAGCUAGCUAACCCAGUGAGCACCAACCAGGAUUUCAACAUUGAUUGAGUCUAUGUUCUUUCCGACUUGUCGUGCCCAAAGACAACAACAACUAUAGUGGUACAAGCCAGGCAAUUACGUCACGUUCGCGCGUCAAAGCAACUCGGACGGGGGGUUUACGAGACAAAUGGAUCGCACAGCAAGUUCUACACUACAAGUGUGGUCCAUUGUCUUUGCACCCUGAGGAGGGCAUCCCUGCCGCAAGGCGUUGGUGCGGUUUAUGAGUUUUCUGUAAGUAUUAGCCAUAAUAAUAAUGGUUUUAAAACUUUAAAAUUUUUUUGUAUUUUGUUUUGCUACGUAAAUUUCUUUCACCAUUUCUCUCUUGCGCUCUCUGUCCAUCUCUCUCGGGACUGUGGCUAACAGGUUUUGUACUUGUCUUUGUGUGUUUUCUUUGUUACAGUGUGUGAUCUGAUUUUCACCAUUGCUGUCCAGUUUUGAUCCUCAGUGAGGGGUCUGAUCUUCACCGGGUUCCCAGGCAGGCAUUCCAGUCCACUUAUCCGCCAAAGUC